rnacentral:rRNA from 1 species
UACUCCUACGGGAGGCAGCAGUGGGGAAUAUUGCACAAUGGGCGCAAGCCUGAUGCAGCCAUGCCGCGUGUAUGAAGAAGGCCUUCGGGUUGUAAAGUACUUUCAGCGGGGAGGAAGGCGAUAAGGUUAAUAACCUUGUCGAUUGACGUUACCCGCAGAAGAAGCACCGGCUAACUCCGUGCCAGCAGCCGCGGUAAUAUAG